CUCGGGAACCGUGAGAUCACGAACUGAGCCAAAAUCAAGAGUCGACACUGAACCGACUGAGCCGCCCAGACGCCCGGUCCCUUGGAAGCAUUUGAACGAACAAUCACAUCUUUGAGUUGGUCAAACGUCUCAGCUUCUGGAAAGGUGUCUGAAACUCUGCCCAUGGACUCCUGCAAAUCAUCUCUGCCACCUCCUUGAUGAGCUCUGCUCUGAAUCAGCGUUCAGGACCCCCAGAGCGGGACCCCCAAAGUCUGGGGGACCAAGUAGGUGUGACAGGUGCCGACGAAGGAUGAUGUGAUCAGAUGAGGUCCAGCGGUGGCCCGGAGAAGUGGCCCAGGUGUGUUCCUUGAGGAGGGGACAGGGUUUCAGCUUCAGCAAAUGGAACAGAAGCGACCUGGGGCGUGGAUAGAAGCCGAGAGUCAUCUGUGUGUGUUUGUCCAGCUGCUUCUCCGCCGUGAGGGCGUGACAGCAGGACCUGUCCGCGGGAAUGCCAGCAGCAUUCAUCACAGACCAGGAAAUCAUUCAAGACCUCGACUCGCCUGACAGGGUGUUGCGGGUGAACUGCGGGAGCCAAGCCUACCGAGACUUUCGUCCUGAUUACGACUGUUUGAGGGUGUUUAUCAGACACAGACAAGGACAAAGUGGGUGUUGCUCUCCAGGCGAGACGCUCGUGGCAUCUCAAACUGCGUGAUUGUUUUGAAGGCAGAAGCAGGCUUCAGAGGUUUCCUUGGUGAUGUUUCCAAAGUCUGUGCUUGCAACCAGGAUAUCCUGGUGGUGAGCCUGCCUCAGUUUACCUUCCUGACCCCCCGGCAUGAAUUUCACAGCCUUCAAGCACCCGCACCAACCUUCCUUUCUUGGGGGACUGGUUUCUGCUUGGUGCAAUCUGAAGACUUCCCAGCGCCUCCUUUCCUAGGUCUGAAAUGAAGGAGACAGGCUUCCUCAGCCUCUCUGCUGUGUUGGGGGACAGCCCAUCCUGGGUGUGAGACCUGCUCUCCGGGAGAACAGCACUUCCCUGUGUGUGGUUAAAGAGGCCGGGCUCAGGGGACAGCCCACAACAUCUCCAUGGGGAAGCUGAAAACAAAAACAGCGGAAGGGAAGCCGGGGGGCGGAGAGCUGAGCCAGAGGGGGGCCCAGCGGGGACACAUCUGGGGUGUGACUUGGGUCACUUUGCUGCCUGACCUGUGAGUGGAGCUCACAAGCCCAAGCCUGCACCGCCCGCCUGUGUGGCUCCGACCCCCUAGAGGAGGAAGCUGGUCCUAUAGCAAUACCUCUGGCAUCCUUGUCCC